CCCAAUCAUAUCUAAAAAAGAAAAAAUAGUUAAAAGGAAAAAACAACUUGAACCGGCCUAACCGCGCACUACUUCGGCAAUAUAAAAAUAACACAGCGUUCAAAUAAAGCUCCAAAAAAAGACGAAACUUUUCAAUCAAAGCUAAAUUAGGAGAAGAAGAAGAUAAACCCUACCAUUCAAAUUCUCCAAAAAGGACACAAAGGGCAAAUCGCCAACAGAAGAAGAAAUCAGUACCUCUCAAUCAUAUUCGCAAAGGCAAUGGAAGUUCACUUUCAAGAGGAAAUACUUAUGGACAUCCUCAACAGGUUACCUGUGCAGUCUCUUCUUCGAUUCAAAUGUGUUUCGAAUUUUUGGAAAACAUUGAUCUCCGGGCCUUACUUUAAGAUGAAGCAUCUCAAACAUGCCAAGAAUGAUGAAAAUUCCCAAAAAUUUCUCAUUUGCCAGUUGUGCCCUGAGGAUGGUAUAUAUUCCGUAUAUUGUUGUCCCUUAACGUUGGUUCAACGGGUUGAGGAUGUACGAAACUUGAUUGUCCUUCAGACUCUAAACUGUGGUAUUGCUCAAUCUCUUGUUGUUAUGAUGGCUUGGCUAUUAUUGAGGUUUGUGAUAGUACUGUUGAUUAGCACCACAUACUUGUGCUAUGGAACCCCUCCACAGGAGAAUCAAUAGUACUUCCUGAUCCAGAAUUUCCACCGAAGGGAGUUUCUUGUUUGGGAUUGGGUUACGACUCAACUAGUCGUGACUAUAAGAUUCUUAAGGUUGACGAGAAGAAAGAGAAUGGUCGCAAAGUACCUAGUGAAAUUCUUGCGCUGAAAAGUGGUUCGUGGAGAAAAAUUGAUAAACAUCCUCAUGACAUUCGCAAUGAGUUGUUUGGUAUGCAUUCUUUGGCAUUUGUACAUGGGGCAUUUCAUUGGGUCGGUAUUGAAGAAAUUAUUUUAUGGUUUCAUUUAAUAUUUCAAAUGAAGUAUACAGAGAGAUACCAUUGCCAGAGCAAAUAUUUUUGCUUAAUAUUGGCGUUUCAGUAUUGGAAGAAAUGCUUUGUGUUUAUUCUACUUAUGAUUUUUUGUGGGAGAAUACUUUUAAGUUAUGGGUAUUGAAAGACUAUGGUGGCAAUAAAUCUUGGGAUGCAUUGUUUACUGUAGGAGAUCCCCGGAUUUAUAAAGUCGUACCAAAAUAUAGGUUUGCGGAUGGUGAAGUCCUAUUCUGGUCCAUGGGUUUUGACGGGCAGUCAUUUAGGACGUCCAGAGGACCAUUUGGAUUGUGGCCUCGAGCUGAUAGCUUUCAAAAAGGAUUCGCUUUUACAGAAUGCUUGAUCUCUCCAAAACUACUUACUUAGUAUUUGCGGAUAUAUGAUCGAAGGCACUUUUCCUUUUUUCCGUUAUCAUGUUACAACCUCUUAUUCUUCUUAGUUUAUCUAUUGCUUGCCAGUUGUUUGGUUUCAAAAUGUAUUUACCAAAGCUUUGAGCUUACUUGUUUCAUUC